AGCUUUGCGCAGUGGCAGUAUCGUAGCCAAUGAGGUUUAUCCGAGGCGCGAUUAUUGCUAAUUGAAAAAAAAAAAAAAAAAUAAAAUGAAUAUCAGGUAUUAAAAGACAAAAUAAUUGUAUAACUAGAGUUUCUUCAAUGUG
rnacentral:snRNA from 1 species